GUUUCUGACUCGGGCAGCCCAUACACCAACACUGAAAUGAUCCAGAGAAGAUCAGCAUGACCCCUAGGCAAAGGAUGGCACACGGAUUCUUGGAGAGCCAGUUUC
rnacentral:snRNA from 1 species